rnacentral:lncRNA from 1 species
AGGGAAUAUAUUGACCUAAGCAAACCUUGUAUUCAUCAAGCUAAGGCAGAAGAUAUCUAUGGAUUAAUUUCAACCCCAUAGUGUGGCAUUGAAAGGGUUCUGAGCAUGUUAACAGACUGAUUUGAUUAUUGAUGCAAGAACGAAAAUGAUAAGAAUCGGGUUGAAAAACAGGUAGUAUAAUCCAUGAACAAGCAACAGAAUGUGAAUCCCAUGCUGCGAAAUGUAAUAAGACCAUGUUUUUGCAUGGGAUAAGCAAACCAGAUAGCAUACAUAAACCUUAAGACACAACAUUGCAACAAAGGAUAAUCAUCUAGGCCUAUUGAACAGAGGUUUGAUUCUACAAGAAUGAACAUGGUGCAACUUUACGACAAAAACUUGAUUGCGAUUUCAAGCUGCAUAUAAAGCAAGCAAAGAAGCAGAAUUGGGUUCUAACUGACCAUAGUGCAGUGUCAUAGUGAACAUGUAGAAAGCUUCAUAGCUUCCAACUUCAUCCGGGUUCGAAAAUUAACAGCCUAUUGAAAAAAACAUGCCUAAUAUGCCACAAAAGUGAGAACCCUAUAGGCCUAGACUAAGGUCAUGCAACUGAAAGCUGCAAUAGAAGAAGCUGAAACCUAUACUAGAUGAUAAGAUAAAACCGAUAUACGAUUUGUACGAGCAACGGUAUAAACAAGUCAUCAAGUGAAAGCAUUACAAAUUG